rnacentral:rRNA from 1 species
UAUACCACCCUGAAUGCACCUGAUCUCGUCUGAUCUCAGAAGCUAAACAGGUCGGGACUGAUUAGUACUUGGAUGGGAGAUCAUUUAACACUCAUUAUUAAUAU